GACGAACGCUGGCGGCGUGCUUAACACAUGCAAGUCGAACGGAAAGGCCCUGCUUUUGUGUGUUGCUCGAGUGGCGAACGGGUGAGUAACACGUGAGUAACCUGCCCUUGACUUUGGGAUAACUUCAGGAAACUGGGGCUAAUACCGGAUAGGAGCUCCUGCUGCAUGGUGGGGGUUGGAAAGAUUCGGCGGUUGGGGAUGGACUCGCGGCUUAUCAGCUUGUUGGUGGGGUAGUGGCUUACCAAGGCUUUGAAGGGUAGCCGGCCUGAGAGGGUUAACGGCCACAUUGGGACUGAGAUACGGCCCAGACUCCUACGGGAGGCAGCAGUGGGGAAUAUUGCACAAUGGGCGGAAGCCUGAUGCAGCAACGCCGCGUGCGGGAUGACGGCCUUCGGGUUGUAAACCGCUUUCGCCUGUGACGAAGCGUGAGUGACGGUAAUGGGUAAAGAAGCACCGGCUAACUACGUG
rnacentral:rRNA from 1 species